rnacentral:rRNA from 1 species
CUGAUAUUUAAUUAAAUGGCCGCAGUAUUUUAACUGUGCAAAGGUAGCAUAAUCAUUAGUCUUUUAAUUGGGGGCUUGUAUGAAUGAUUGGACGAGAUAUGUGCUGUCUCAUAAAAAUUUAGUUUAGAAUUUAAUUUUUUAGUCAAAAAGCUAAAAUAAUUUUGAAAGACGAGAAGACCCUAUAGAUUUUUAUAUAUUUAUAUAURUUAUUAUUUUUUAGAUUUAUUAUUUAAUAAUAUUUUUAUAUAUUUUGUUGGGGUGACAUUGAAAUUUUUAAAACUUUCAUAAAUUUUGUACAUUAAUUUAUGGAUUUUUGAUCUUUUAUUAUUGAUUAAUAGUUUAAGUUACCUUAGGGAUAACAGCGUAAUUAUUUUGGAGAGUUCAUAUCGAUAAAAUAGAUUGCGACCUCGAUGUUGGAUUAAGAAAAAUGUUAGGUGUAGAAGCUUAAAUAAUUAAGUCUGUUCGACUUUUAAUUUCUUACAUGAUCUG